rnacentral:lncRNA from 13 species
GGAAGAAUGUAAUCGGCAGCCUAAAACUCUCAAUGAGGAGGGGGGAAGGGACUUCUCAGGACAAAGGGCACAGGUAGCAGAGGAAGCCGAGAGGCAGAGUAGGCGCCAUGGUUGGUUGACUGAGCAGGACGACACUGUCAUCAUCUCUCCAUUCUGCCAUCCUGAGUGGAGGCUUCGUUUUCAGGCUGGUUGCAAGAUGGCUACAGAAGCUCCUAACAUCACAACAAGAGAUAUGGGAUUAACUGGCAAACCAAGCCCUCACUCAGCGCGGUCCAAUGGGUCCUCAAGGUUCAAGAGUUGCGAGAGGCCCCACUGGGAAACCCAGGCCAAAGGGCACUUCAGGCUGUGAUGGCCCUGCUGGCCCUCCAGGUGAAAGAGUUCCAUUGGAAUGAGAUAGAAGCUGAAUUGUUAUUUCUG